GAGAGCCGUAUACAUCGAGAGGUGUACGUACGGUUCGGGGAGGAGUGCAUGGAAACCUAUCACAGAAAUGUGAAAAGGCGCUGGGUACUUACUCCAC
rfam:Bacillus cereus Rock3-44 chromosome, whole genome shotgun sequence.